GAGCAUUUGGAUUAUACUUUUGUUUUUGCCUUGGAUUGUAAAUAUUGUAAAUAAACUGUUUUUUUGUACUCUACUUUCACCUCACUCCUCUGCACUUGAGUCAUUCCCCUGGUGGCCUAGUGGGGGUUUGCUGGAUCAUUACACCAGCGACCCGGGUUCGAUUUCCAGCAAAACCCUAACAACUGCAGCAAUUGCAGCCUGCCCGAGGCCCAAGACCAAGAGGGGGGGGCAUUUCCUGGGGCUGGCUGGCUACUAUCGUAGGUUCAUACUUAACUAUUUGGACAUCACCAACCCGCUAACUGAUCUCACUAAAAAGGGAGCACCAGAUCCGGUCCAGUGGACCGGACAGUGCCAACAGGCUUUCACUAAGGUAAAAGCUGCACACAAGGCUACACACAAAGCAGUAUAUCGCGCUACCAAACUUCCACAACCAAAUCCCAGAUGAGCCCCCAAUUUCAUGUUAUGACCCAGACGUGGGCCUCAAACAUGAACGGAGUCAAACACCAAAAUGAAGUUAACAAAAUAAAUGUAUUUGCAUCAGGGAAAAAAAAAAGAUAUGUCUAGGGAAUCUGGGCUUCUGGUAGUGAAUGUAAUGAAUGAGUGGAAAGCCAGCAGGGAUCAGAGUGAGAGUCAAAAAAUGAUUGUGGUGUAGCAAGGGAAUGUAUAAAAGAUACAAUGAGUGCCUGUAUGUCAUGGAGGAAAGAGAAUGUGAGUGUUAGGCUCUAAGUGUAAGGGCAGAGCCAAGUGUCUUAGGGGCAAGCUGUUCCCGGCUUUUAAAGCCAGCUGCCACAUGUGACUAAUUCCAAUCAACCACUCUGCUAUUCCCGCCAGCCAAGACUCAGUGGUAGCCCAGACUGACAGAGAUGCAGAGGGUCGUCACAACACAAAUGACACAAUUCAGCACUUUACUUCUUUAGACACACAAACAACACAAUUCAGCAUUUUAUCUCUUUAGACACACAAACAACAGAAUUUAGUGCUUUAUCUCUUUAGACAAGACAUCUCCUGCCCAUGCAGACCUUUUAAGCACAGGAUAGCAUUUCACAGGUACCUCAUGCUAAAUUCAGGCUAAAAACAGUGUACCCAGGAAACCGACAUCUGCAAGUACUGACCUUUUAGGUACAAAGAAGAAUUUCCACUAAGCUAAAUCUGGCAUUAAAAGCGGUAUCGCAGGAACAUAAAACUGCAGUACUCUUCUUCUCUCAACCCGAUCUCUUAACGUGACCCGCUAAUCUUCAAUCUCUUCUAGGACGGGAUUUAAUGUGCGAUCUGUCUUCCUUCGAGGCUUUUCCUCAUAAGCAACAACAACGUUUCUGCAACUCCUUGUUAGGACCAGAGAUUAUCAGGGAAAUUCAGCCAGUGAAACAUAACACAUAUCAUAACAACUGCAAAAAACAACACCGUGCCAAUUUCCCUUUCGAUCUCAAAAUUACUGUUUAAAAAAAUGUUUCCACUUUUACUAAGUUGUUCAAAUUUAGUCCUCUUACCGCCACACUUGGAGCCAAAACCAUAACUGCACAAACUUCAUGAACCAAAUUAGUAGCAAAAAAUUGCUCACCUUUGCUUUGUUGCAGCCACUGUUUGUGCAGUGCAGUUCAGACACCCAAGUGCAGUCAGGUGAGAGGCUUCUUUCCAAAUCACUUCUGGGUCACCGAAUUAUGUCAUGGAAACACUCUGACUCUCCAAGCAAAAAAAAAAGAUUCAAAGUCCAAGUUGCAGAAAGGUUUAGACUUUUAUUCAACCAGUAAAAGCCGAGUUCGGUCUGCAGAGUGAACCGACUCAAAAAUUACAAAGUUAUCAUUUUAUACUGUCUCAAAGAAAAAUACAGUGUACACAAAUAAUUUCAUUGGUUCACAUUUCAUGUCAUUCUUCUUUAACGUUUUUCUAUUGGGCAGUAUAUCUUAUACCUCUCAUACUUUGUAAGAACUGAGCCAAAUUUCCCAGUAUGAAUGGCCAAUUUAGAAAGAAUCAAAACAUACGAUAACACUGCAUUCAAAGUGUACAAUACUUGGAUUCAGUCUGGCUGAGAUCAUCAGGUCUAAGGCUACAAACAACCUGCAGGUGCGGGCUGACUCCUCUUUUUUGCCCUUGGACACUCUACUACACCAUAAGAUUUAAGAAGUCCACUCUGUAGCCUGGGAAACUUCCCAAUUUAGAGCAGCUUGUUAUAAUGUGUGACAUCACCUGCAAGGCACUUUAGAAUGAGCAACUGCUUAAUUCAACAUGAUCUCAGGCUAAAGAGCCAAAACAUAAGAUAAUCAGCCAAGCAUUGAGGUCAGAAUGACACACUGUGUAAAUUAGGCCUGUGGUUUAACAGAAACCAACCUUUCAGCAUAAGACAAUCUCAAUGUCUCUGCUGGAUUUUACUGUAAUUAUGAUCACUCAAACCAAUUUGUUAUUACUUUUCAAUAGAAUUGACCCCAUUUAUUCUUUACUGAAAAUCAAUAUAUUCAGCUUUGGAUUAGUAUAUAAUCAGCAUAAAAAGAAAUGGUUACAUCAUUCAGGAUACACUUGUGAUUACUUAAGGUGUGUGUUUAUAUAUGUGGUUACAUAAUUCAGGAUACACUUGUGAUUACUGAAGGUGUGUGUUUGUUCGUGACUACAUAUGUGCAUAUAAAAUCAUUUCCAAAGGAAAGUGGUGGCCCAAAGCCACUUAAAUGUUAAAGGUCAACUAAGUUAAAAAAACAAAAUUCCACAGUGAUCCAAAUGUGUUUUCAUGUAACCAGAUAGAUACCUUACAUUUCUGAGCGUGAUUUUGUGAAUGUGCACUAAUUGCUGGAAAGCGGUAUUUCAUCUGUUUUUCAGGACCCAAAGCUCCACCCUUCAAAAAAUAAACUUACGAGCACGAGAUAGGUCACGCGACCUCGUGACGUAUGUUUCAGAAUAACACAGUGGCAUAGUCGUUGCACCUGGACUGAAGUGCGGAAAGUAAUUUGAGUUGAUUUAGUUACUUACAAAGACUGAGUCCAGAGUUUUCGCCUACAGUCCCCAGCCAUGCCUACUCGGUGUAUAAUCGCAGGUUGUGGCAAUACAUAUAAAGACGGGGUAAGCUUUCAUCGCUUCCCCAAAGAUGAGACCAUCAAAAAAUUUGCGCCAAAAAUGAAGUCGUACAGAUAUCAUGGCAUCCUCAGCAGGUAAGUUCAUACCUCUCGCUAAUCUUGAUAACUCAGAAUGUUGCUGUUUUCAUGCUGAUAAUAGAUAACAUCACAUUCAGUAUCAAUAUUAACAGCAUCAAAAAAAAAAUUGUUUCUUUCCUAUCAUUUCUAUCUCAGGAUUCAUUUGGCAGCACUACACUACAACGCAAACAGUGACAGAGAGCAGGCAAGGACAAGUAAAGGGGACCUACGCUAUAGUAUUUGAAAACCAAAGUACAAGCCAGGAAGUGCUUCAGCUAAGCCAGUCAAAGAACCAUGCAACUACUCCUAUGUUGAGGAACUCAUGGCUGAUGUAUCGGAGCAAGACUUUGACACUUCACCACCAGAGAGGCAGCCAUCACCACCACCUUUGAGUAGCGGCCAUGUGUACCCCCCCAAAGAGGAGAUAAUCCGAUGCCAUCACAGCUGAUUUUCCAAAAAAUGAUUGUAUUGUGCUGUAUGUACACAUCAGAGAAACUUUUGGUGGGCAAAUGUGUGUCAUCUUGUGCCUUUUUGGGUCUUUGAAAACUUUUUCAGUUCUGUUUCAACACCAUACAUAUUUAUUAUUAUUAUUUUUUUUUUUUUUUGUUAUCAUUGCUGAGGUUAUUUCAAGCAAGUGUUAGUGUUGAUUAUGGACAUAUAAUGUAUCCACACUGGAUUGGGAAGGAAUGCUGUGUGAAUCCUUUUCCCAGGUCUUUGGACCUCUGGUUUGUCUUUGUUAUAGGGUUAACAAAUGCAUUAGAACAAAUAAAUCUGAUUCAAGUA